ensembl:misc_RNA
CUGGUAACAAGGGAAACUGGAGUCUUGUGUUUAUCUUCAGGCCAGGACAGAUAGAGGCAGCAACAGUAUAUGCUUUCCUAAACUGACCUGCUAAUGACCUGAAUCCUGCCCUGAGGGGUUAGUAUUCCUUGGAGUAAGUGGAUAUUUAGCUCUGAUGCCUGUUCAACCUACCACUCAU